rnacentral:rRNA from 1 species
AGCGAACGCUGGCGGCAGGCUUAACACAUGCAAGUCGAGCGGGCACUUUCGGGUGUCAGCGGCGGACGGGUGAGUAACGCGUGGGAACGUGCCCUCUGGUUCGGAAUAACUCAGGGAAACUUGAGCUAAUACCGGAUACGCCCUUUUGGGGAAAGGCUUGCUGCCGGAGGAUCGGCCCGCGUCUGAUUAGCUGGUUGGUGAGGUAACGGCUCACCAAGGCGACGAUCAGUAGCUGGUAUGAGAGGAUGAUCAGCCACACUGGGACUGAGACACGGCCCAGACUCCUACGGGAGGCAGCAGUGGGGAAUAUUGGACAAGGGGGGCAAGCAUGAUCCAGCCAGGACGCGUGAGUGAUGAAGGCAUUAGGGUUGUAAAGCGCUUUUAUCCGGGACGAUAAUGACGGUACCGGAGGAAUAAGCCCCGGCUAACUUCGUG